rnacentral:tRNA from 1 species
GCCUGAGUGGCUCAGUUGGGUAAGCAUCUGACUCUUGGUUUUGGCUCAGGUCAUUAUCUCGCAGUUUGUGGGUUCAAGCCCCAUCUGGGGCU